CGCGGGAUUAGAGUUUGAUCCUGGCUCAGGACGAACGCUGGCGGCGUGCCUAACACAUGCAAGUCGAGCGGAAAGGCCUCCUUCGGGAGGUACUCGAGCGGCGAACGGGUGAGUAACACGUGGGCAACCAACCCCUCACAUCGGGAUACCCCGGGGAAACUCGGAUCAAUACCGGAUAAUGCGCGACGCUGUUGGGCGUCGCACCAAAGAUAGCUUCGGCCUUUGGUGAGGGACGGGCCCGCGGCCCAUUAGCUUGUUGGUGGGGUAACGGCCUACCAAGGCGACGAUGGGUAGCUGGUCUGAGAGGAUGAUCAGCCACACUGGGACUGAGAUACGGCCCAGACUCCUACGGGAGGCAGCAGUGGGGAAUAUUGCGCAAUGGGCGGAAGCCUGACGCAGCAACGCCGCGUGCGGGAGGAAGGCCUUCGGGUCGUAAACCGCUUUCAGGGGGGACGAAGCCACCUGGGUUAAUAGCCUAAGGGGUGACGGUACUCCCAGAAGAAGCCCCGGCUAACUACGUGCCAGCAGCCGCGGUAAUACGUAGGGGGCGAGCGUUGUCCGGAAUCAUUGGGCGUAAAGAGCGUGUAGGUGGCUUGGAAAGUCUUACGUGAAAGCCUGCGGCUCAACCGCAGAAGUGCGUGGGAAACUUCCUCGCUAGAGUCCGGAAGAGGAGAGCGGAAUUCCUGGUGUAGCGGUGGAAUGCGCAGAUAUCAGGAGGAACACCCGUGGCGAAGGCGGCUCUCUGGGACGGUACUGACACUGAGACGCGAAAGCGUGGGGAGCGAACAGGAUUAGAUACCCUGGUAGUCCACGCCGUAAACGAUGGGCGCUA
rnacentral:rRNA from 1 species